AGAGUUUGAUCCUGGCUCAGAUUGAACGCUGGCGGCAGGCCUAACACAUGCAGUCGAGCGGCAGCGGGAGGAAGCUUGCUUCCUCGCCGGCGAGCGGCGGACGGGUGAGUAAUGUCUGGGGAUCUGCCCGAUGGAGGGGGAUAACCACUGGAAACGGUGGCUAAUACCGCAUAACGUCGCAAGACCAAAGUGGGGGACCUUCGGGCCUCACACCAUCGGAUGAACCCAGAUGGGAUUAGCUAGUAGGUGGGGUAAUGGCUCACCUAGGCGACGAUCCCUAGCUGGUCUGAGAGGAUGACCAGCCACACUGGAACUGAGACACGGUCCAGACUCCUACGGGAGGCAGCAGUGGGGAAUAUUGCACAAUGGGCGCAAGCCUGAUGCAGCCAUGCCGCGUGUGUGAAGAAGGCCUUCGGGUUGUAAAGCACUUUCAGCGAGGAGGAAGGUGGUGAGCUUAAUACGCUCAUCAAUGACGUACUCGCAGAAGAAGCACCGGCUAACUCCGUGCCAGCAGCCGCGGU
rnacentral:rRNA from 1 species